GACGAAGGGGGCUAGCGUUGUUCGGAAUUACUGGGCGUAAAGCGAGUGUAGGUGGUUGUCCAAGUUGGAUGUGAAAGCCUUGAGCUCAACUCAAGAAAUGCAUUCAGGACUGGGCGACUAGAGGACCGGAGAGGAUAGUGGAAUUCCCAGUGUAGUGGUGAAAUACGUAGAGAUUGGGAAGAACACCAGUGGCGAAGGCGGCUAUCUGGACGGUUUCUGACACUAAGACUCGAAAAGCGUGGGGAGCAAACAGG
rnacentral:rRNA from 1 species